rnacentral:rRNA from 1 species
UACGAAGGGGGCUAGCGUUGCUCGGACUCACUGGGCGUAAAGCGCACGUAGGCGGAUUGUUAAGUCAGGGGUGAAAUCCUGGAGCUCAACUCCAGAACUGCCUUUGAUACUGGCGAUCUUGAGUCCGGGAGAGGUGAGUGGAACUGCGAGUGUAGAGGUGAAAUUCGUAGAUAUUCGCAAGAACACCAGGGGCGAAGGCGGCUCACGGGCCCGGUACUGACGCUGAGGUGCGAAAGCGUGGGGAGCAAACAGG